UCAUUAAGUCAGGACUCAUGAUAGAAGGACUCAAUCAUACGAUAACUGCACCUAGGGGUUCAUACUUUCAUUCUACUAGAUUGGCACUACAUACUGCUAGGUGUCACUGAUGGAUUGUGGGAUUUAUUGGACGUUGUCUUAAUGAUCGAUGAUCUUUGAAGGAUAGAAUUAAAAAUAUUCCAAUCCAUCGAAAAGAGUUUCGAUGAUAUUGUGAUAAAGAUCACAAUAUAUCUCACUACUAGAUAGAAUGGAACCUAUGGGGUCACACAUUAAGAGAUUUAAUCUUGAAUUUAUC
rnacentral:lncRNA from 1 species